UUUCUCUCUGUCUCUGUCUCUAUCUCUUCCCCUCUUUUCCUCCAUUGCUAUCUGGUAACUUGCAAGUUGAUAAAGGGUUGCUGAGUUUUUGGUGCUAUCAAAAUCCAUCAAACGAUCUCUCAUUUGCCACUUUGUUUUCGUAGGUUGAGGAACUUGAUUUUCUCUAUCCGAGUGAAUUUGUGCCUUAGGUUAUGUUUAUCCGCUAAGUGUGUAUUUUGGAAAUGCUUAUUUGAUGAAUGCACUGGUGUAAUUGAUCAGUAAAUUACUAUGAUCGGUGUGUUUCUGUGGAAGUGAUUCAUGCCGGUUCUGGGUUACGGUUUUUGGGGUUAGAUUUCUGAAUCUAUGGGAUUUGCUGACAAAGAGUCUCCGGUUUUAGGGAGGGAGGGAGGAUGCGCAAGGUAGCAAGAGCCAUUUGAAGAAGGCGCACGAUAUCCAGUCUCAGAAGAGUGCUAUGCUCUCAUGCGAGAGAGAGAGAGAGAGAGAGAGAGAGGUAAUGGUGGAGGAUGCGCAAGAUAGCUAGAGCCCUCUGAAGGAGGCACACGAUAUCCAAUCCCAGAUUAAGAUUGCUAUGAUCUUAUGAGUCCCUUACUUCAAAGAAUUAUCCGAUUUGUCGAUUUCUGCUACGAUAAUGAAGGAAUCCGGAGGAUUGAGGCCAGUCGAUCUGAGGUUUGUACUACUUUAUCCCUUCCUUUCUCUCUUUCUGUGAAUGUCUUGAAAUUGACGACGCACAUUCUGAUUCUUGCUGUGUUUGGGAGUGGAGAAAACUCUGGCUUAGCUUUGAUCACUUGAAUUUUGUCUUAGUUAGUUCAGCACAAUCUGACUACAUAAACCUACUAUUGGGCUAUUUCUAUGGAGGGUUUAUGUUUACUUUUGUUAGUCUGUUGACAGUUUGAUAUGUCUAUCAUGUUGAUGGAACUGAAUUGUGAGUUAAUUAUGGUUUAGAUUGUUGAAUUUUGAAUUUGGAAUUCCCUUCGGAAAAUGUCACAAGCAAUGUGUCUGUUGUGGCUACAUAAAUCAAAAGCGAGUGAAAGGUAAAGCUUUUCUCCCCAAACAUUCAUCGCCAGCAAUUCUAGCCAAAGCAGGUAUAUCUUUCCUCUUGCUUUCUUUCUAGUAUGUUCUAUCCCAAUUUCUCUCAGAAAGUAAGGGUUUUGGUUUGCAUUCUUGGAUUAGAUUUGUAUAUAUUCCAUUGCAUCUCAGUUUUCUCUGAUUUAAUUGCAUAAUCUGGCUCUUGAUAUUCUAACUUUGCUUUCUUUGCAUCAAAAUUGAAUCUGGCUCUUGGUUUUCUUGAUUUAAUUUUUUUUUUUUUAAUUUCUAUAAUUAGACAAAAUAAGGAUAAAACUUUCUAUUAGUAUAUGAGUAUUCGAUUCUGAUAUAUCAUUUUCCUCCAUUUGACAUGAUUUUGGAUUAUUAGGGACUCAGGUUUGCCUUCUGCGUUUUCGUUUAAAAAAUAGGCUUUUAGGUGAGUAAUUUACUAAUUUGGUUUUGAUUAUCAGCUAAGAGAAUAGAGGGUUUAAUUUGUAAUUAUUUUGAUGCAACGAAAAAUUUUAGAUUUGACAGAUUUCUCCAGUUCAGGAUGAUAAAAAUUUAGGGCUUUGAUUUGUUGAUGUGAUUUCCACGUACUCUGAAUUCAAAUAGAAAUGCAAGGAUAUAUUAGAUGUGUGAGUAAAUUUUCAAUCUUCAUCUAUGUGUUUAACCCUUAACGAUAUGUGAAUUAUUGAUUGAUAAUUUGAUAAUAUGUAUGCUAUUAUUGAUUCAGAAAAAUUAGUUUGUUAAUUUGUUGAGCUUGGUUGUUUUGGCAUGGUGAUGUUAUAAAGCUCCUCUUUAUAGUUAGGUUGAAAAUCAUGUUAAUAGAUUCUUUUUUUUCUUUUGUUGGUCCAAUCUGUAACAGAUGAGAUUUUUGUGUUUGAUUGGAAAUUUGUCAAGUAUACCUUAGAUUCUUGGUUGCAUAUUCACCUUCCCACAACUUUUACAUUGUCUCUUGAUUGGAUGGAUUUUUAUAAUUUUCAGGAUCUACGGUUGCAAUGCUUUUGAUGCAUGAAGUAAGAAGGAAGCUACUACUCUUAUGGAGCUUCUUUGGCAUGGUAAGCUGAAGUUGCAUAUCAUUUUUUUCAUACACGGAAUUCGUUAUCUUGCUAUAUUAGCAAUUAGCAGUGUCUGACAAUUGGUAAAGUGUACGAAUAAAUGUGUGGAAGUUUGAAUUGUACAAAUAAAAGUGAAUUUUAACAA